rnacentral:rRNA from 1 species
AACGAACGCUGGCGGCAUGCUUAACACAUGCAAGUCGAACGAGACCUUCGGGUCUAGUGGCGCACGGGUGCGUAACGCGUGGGAAUCUGCCCUUGGGUACGGAAUAACUCAGAGAAAUUUGUGCUAAUACCGUAUGAUGUCGAAAGACCAAAGAUUUAUCGCCUAAGGAUGAGCCCGCGUAAGAUUAGCUUGUUGGUGAGGUAAAAGCUCACAAAGGCGACGAUCUUUAGCUGGUCUGAGAGGAUGAUCAGCCACACUGGGACUGAGACACGGCCCAGACUCCUACGUGAGGCAGCAGUGGGGAAUAUUGGACAAUGGGCGAAAGCCUGAUCCAGCAAUGCCGCGUGAGUGAUGAAGGCCUUAGGGUUGUAAAGCUCUUUUACCAGGGAUGAUAAUGACAGUACCUGGAGAAUAAGCUCCGGCUAACUCCGUGCCAGCCGCCGCGGUAA